CCCAGAUUGGAGAUUUGGGGAGAGUUACGCGCCUGGAGAGGGCACAGAAGCUCCGUGCCCUUUCCCCAUACCUUGCUCUAUGCAUCUCUUCCACCUGGCUGUUCCUGAGUUAUAUCCUUUUAUAAUAAGCCGGUAAUCUAAUCUUGUAGUACUGUGUUGAAUAGAACUGGUGAAAGCAGGUAUCCAUGUUUUGUUGGAAAUUCAGUAUUUGGAAAAACAUUCCCCUCUCCCAGUCUUUGCAUACUGGCUGUGUGCAGGGGAAGAUCUUCAGUAAUCAUCCCAUCAUGAAGGCUCAAGGUCCUCUCAGGCUUUUUCUGAAGAUGCAUCCUCUGUAAGUAUAUGUGUGUGCUUUUUUUUUCUAAUUUCCCCAAAUGCAUGGCUGUUUUUAAAUGUCUUAAUUUCCCUAGGAGUCUCACCUUUGCUUCUCGGAGCUUACAUGUUCUAUUGUAUUCAUCUAUCUGUAAUUUCUUGCUCCCAGGCACACACAUGUGUGCAGUUCCCCUCCGCUUUCAUGCAUUGAAGCCCCCACCAACUGCCUUCAUUGGUCUCCAACCUGACACCUAAACUAUGCCACCAUUCCUCUCAGUGCCCUGAUUUAGACGAGACAGAAAACCAUUCCCUUGGACAACUCCCAGUCAAGCCAGUAUGUUGCAAGCAAGUUCCACUCUUGCCUUUUGUCCUGAUUUUGUCCCAGGAAUUGGGACUGUGCUAUGCUAUGUAGCUCUGGAAAGGGUUGGGGAAAGGGAGAGCCAACACUUCAUGAAAUUCCCUACUGUUUUGUGUGUGUCUUUUUCUUGGUUAGGCAUUCACUUGGUUACUGCAGUUUCUUGAAUGGUUUCUAGAGAUCCCACGUAGCUACUUUUGUCCAUAUGUUCUUGUUUAUUUGGCAUUUCCCUUGGGAAAUAGGGCCUGCAGCUUCCUAGUCUGCCAUCUUGCUGAUGUCAGUCUCCUCAUAUUAACUUUUAAUUCUCAAACCACAAUCGCUUGGGCCCCCAUCCACAUGAUAACAGUACUAUCUCCCUUGUUCCCUUGUGUCAGUUCAUUUCUGAAUCCUCAAAGAGGACCUCACAUGUGCCCCUAAACCAACACCUUAGUUAUAGACAUCACAUGGCAUUCCUCUCCACACUGAUUCCUCUCUUCUGUAAUUGCCACUUGUCUUUGAACCUCACUCUUGCCACUGCUGAGAGUACCUAUCAUUCUGUGACAAGGAUGGAUAUCUUAAUAUUGCUAAAUUUUCCUGCUAUAGAAGUCAGGCUAAAUGGCUUCUCUAGCCCUCAUGACCUGCUGACCUCCCAAAGACCCUACAUACUAAUACCAUCACAUUGAGCAUUAGGAUUUCAACACAUAAAUUUUGGGGGAACACAAACAUUCAGAACAUAGAAACAUCCAAAAUGGUGAGAUUAGAAUACCCACUUCUUCAAUCCAUCUAACUCUCCUCCUUACAGCCCAACCCAUGCCCUCCAAGUGAAAAAAUCUCAUUCCACUCUCAACUACAAAAGUUAUUUUAUGAAUCAGUGGAGUGUUAUAGUCUUCAGGUAAUUUAGAUCAGUUGUCUAUUCUAUACUAAGUCUCCCUAGGCCCGCAUAAAUCAUCCAAAAAUGCCCCGAUGCAAUCAGAACAGGUUCUACUGUAACCAAAUUAGAACAGGUAUUGGUGUGACUUGGUAAUAUUUGGAGUUAUUAACUUAUUCUUUUCUCAUUCUGUUUCCCUCUUUCCCUUCUAAUAUAUGAAAGCAACUUGGCUUUCAUUGCCUUAGGGCAAAUAGGUGGCAGGCAGGAAAACAGAUACAGUUUGAAAUUCUUUCUGACCUUGAGAUUCUCAAAGUUUAAAUCCUUAGGAGAAAAGAAUUUACAGUCAGAUACAGAAUAUCUUUAAGAAAUAAAAAAAGAGAGAACUUUCUACUAGAUAGUAAAAUGAUACUGUAUGGUGGAAAAAAAGCAGGUAUUUGAGAGAGGUGUGUGAGAUCCAAAAACAGAGAUGGUGGGUGUACUUGCAAGUGACACCAAGUCAGUGACCAGAAUUGAGAGAGGAAUGACUGAGUGGUGCAUCUCAGAGGACUGGACAACUUGCAGCUUGAGUGAAGAUUCAGGGGUGUAAUGCAGGGAAUAGAAGUCACAGAAGGCCCAGGCCUGAGAUGACCGUGCAGAUGGAUACAGUGACUUCUUUAGCUAGAGAGGAGAACACUAAAUUAAAUAUUGUUUUUCUUUUUUUGCUUUUGUUUCUUGAUAGCCUGGUAGAAUUAAAGUUUGGAUUCAGAAAUUUGUUGAGUUAUAGCAAAUAAAAAGACUAUUUUCUCAACCUGAGGUUGCAUUUUAAGAUUUAUACCCGCUAAGUAAAUAUGCAAUUAUGUGACUUGGGACAAGUGUUAACAACAAAGUAUUGCCAAUAUGUCCAAUUUAGCUAAAGAACAGGACAUGCAAUAAACUUCUGAGUUAUACUAUCCCUUUUAGGAGAGUAUAGAAAGGAAGAAGUAGAGGAAUGAAGUCAGCAAAGUCUCAGAAUAGGAGGUUCCCAGCCUUCAUCUUUCCACAGAAAACUCCAUUUGACAACUAUUCAUGGAUAAAAGAACCUUUGUGGGAGUUUCAGAAUCUAGGUAGGAGAUCGUGACACCAUGGUGUAGCCCAAGACUAAGGAGAGCUGCUUUGAGAAGGCGGGCUUGUGCCCCAGGAAGGAGGCCCACCAAACACAUACCCAACUAUAAACCUGGAAGCAGCCCCAUCCCCAUGUGGACUCGGCCCCUGCCACACUCACCCAUGCUCAUGGAGGCAAUCCUAACUGCUCAAGGACUCAGCAGGAACUGUGUCCACUCACAUCCGUAUAAUAGUCCCACUGGUUGCAGACCUGACUGUAGACUCUAAAGCAGCCCCAUGACCCAGAUCUAACCCCACUUGACUAUCCCAAAAGCAGUCCUGUCUGCCCAGGGAACUGGCAGGAGUCAUGCCCACUUAUGCCCCAGAUAAGAAGCCAGCUGACUGCAUACCUGGAUGUGGAACUGGAAUCAGCCCAUGAUCUGGCUUCAUCCCCACUCAACCACAGACCCAAGGUGCCGUGAUCCCUCUCCUGGAAUCCUUGCUCUUGUGAAGCUCCAACCAGCCUGAUCGGUGAUCUCCACUAUGCCAUGGUAGCAAGGGGCCUGCCUCUAUUAACUGCUUUUCCCAUAGGUUUGACUGAGGCAAGUACAGUUAUGUUUUAGUGUCCUGAACCUCUGCAGCUCUCUGUUCUGACUGCUCAGAUCUGCUCAGAUUUUGGCAUCCCAUCUAGACCAUAGUGGCCUAAACAUGAUUUUCAAAUGCAGCUGUGCAGCAGUAGCCCUGAGCAACAUACUUCUCUCUCAUACUAGUCAAUACCUGAUCAAAAUGAAGCAAGCCCAACUGGACCAUCAAGAAGAUGGUAUUCAGUCUUGACUUGCCUUACCAGGCCUGACUCUGGACAUAUCUCCCUAUUAGUGCCAUCUCGCUCUGACUGGAGCAUUGGCAAGCUGGGUUGUGAUAGGUCCUUUGAUGUUUUCUUUUCCCACUGGCUCACACUCCAGUUUAACUUGACAGGCCAAGCUGUGCUCUGGGAAUAAAGGUUUACGUAACUCUACUUCUACAUUGAUUUGGAUAAGGUAUGAAUUUAAAGAUCCAACAGAGCUGUGUGUGUGUUUAUUUUUUUUACAGCAUCUGUAUGCCUCCAUCUCUACGCCUAGAACUGAAGAUGUCUAUAGCCCUCUAUUUAGAAUUAAAAACUAUGGCAGGGAUAAGAAACAAAGGAGGAGAAUUUUAUUUUCGUGUUUAAAUAUUUUAGAUAUUGGGACAAUAAAUAUCAAAAAGUCAUUCAAGCUGCACUUGACAUAAUCUAAAGCCACACUCUUUAUAACCAGAGGAAAUGGAUUUUAUUUAAAUUCAAUUUGUCAAAGUACAAAUAUCUUUGUACAACUUAUGUUGCUUUUUUGUAAAACUUAAAAGGUAGUAGUACAUUUUAUAAGUGUCUCUCUGGAUUUUAUUUGUUGGUUUUACAUACUACAAUGCAAAGCCUGUUUAAAAGAACAUACUGCAGAUAUUCUAAAAUCGUACAUUUACUUGAAAAGUUACUUUCAUAAAGAAGUUUUUUCAACAUUUUAUCUUAAAUAUUUUUAUAAUGGAAUAAACAGAAGUAAAAAUUUAAAGGUAAAAUACUACCCAACUAGCCUUUUUUGUUGUUUUUUAAUUUUAAAAGUUUUUUGUAGUGCAUAUAUCCUUAACAUUUUCUACUGGAUGAAUAUAACCAUUAACAGAAGAACAUGUAUUGGUACAUAAAAGAUAAUUACAGAAUUAACCAUGGCUAUUGAACAUUUGUUGUUUCCAUGUGUUAAUAUUGUAGAAUAUCUUCUCAAUUUUAAUGCACUUUUAAAAUUGUUUUGUUUCUUAAAACUUGUUUAACUUGAUGGUAGGUGUUUAUAGAGUUCACAGAAAUGUUUGAGGAGAAUAUUACUUUCUAUACAAGUGAGGCCCUGACACUCUAAAGCUGAGGUCACGAUUUGUAUCAAUAUGAUAUUCACUAUUUUAUUGCACAGAUUGUGUAUAUGAAAUUACAAUAAUAUUUUAAUGGUAACAAAUUUGACAAGACAACAUACAUCGUAAGGAAUGCCAAAUGUAUAUGUGUGCUUUGGAAGAUGAUGCAGUAAAAGAUUCUAUCUGGUCCUCAGCAUUGAUAAAGUAAGGAGCUACAUGCAUGGCAGAAUUUGAGUUUUUCUGAGGAUCUUAAUGAAUCAAAUUGUUGGAGGAAAUAGAAACACAUAAUGAGCUGUCAUUAUAUUAACACAAUUAUUUAAAACAGUAACCAGCUUACUGUGUAGAAUACAAGCAUCAUGAAGAGCCUAGGAUUUUUUCCGUUUUUCUGGUGAACUCCUUAUCUCCAAAUUUGUUCUGUAAGCAAAAUGAAAAACAAUUCAGUCUCAACAUAGAAUUUCACAAUUUCAGGAGUUAAUGGAGUAAAGACAGGAAAAUGCCAGCAUAACAAUGGGAGAGAACAUGCUUAUAGGAAGUGAUUUACUCUUGUACAUUAUCAACAGUCUUAUAAAGAGGAGGCUAGGAGGCCGGCCCCAUCACUUAGCGGUUAAGUGCUCGUGCUCCGCUACUGGCGGCCCAGAUUCAGACCCCGGGUGUGCACCAAUGCACCACUUGUCCAGCCAUGCUGAGGCAGCAUCCCACAUACAGCAACUAGAAGGAUGUGCAACUAUGACAUACAACUAUCUACUGGGGCUUUGGGGAGAAAAAGGGGAAAAAAAAGAGGAGGAUGGGCAAUAGAUGUUAGCUCAGGGCCCAUCUUCCUCAGCAAAAAGAGGAGGACUGACAUGGAUGUUAGGUCAGGGCUGA